rnacentral:rRNA from 1 species
AUUGAACGCUGGCGGCAGGCUUAACACAUGCAAGUCGAGCGGGGUGAUGGUGCUUGCACUAUCACUUAGCGGCGGACGGGUGAGUAAUGCUUAGGAAUCUGCCUAUUAGUGGGGGACAACAUCUCGAAAGGGAUACUAAUACCGCAUACGUCCUACGGGAGAAAGCAGGGGAUCACUUGUGACCUUGCGCUAAUAGAUGAGCCUAAGUCGGAUUAGCUAGUUGGUGGGGUAAAGGCCUACCAAGGCGACGAUCUGUAGCGGGUCUGAGAGGAUGAUCCGCCACACUGGGACUGAGACACGGCCCAGACUCCUACGGGAGGCAGCAGUGGGGAAUAUUGGACAAUGGGGGGAACCCUGAUCCAGCCAUGCCGCGUGUGUGAAGAAGGCCUUAUGGUUGUAAAGCACUUUAAGCGAGGAGGAGGCUCUUUUGGUUAAUACCCAAGAUGAGUGGACGUUACUCGCAGAGUAAGCACCGGCUAACUCUGUGCCAGCCGCCGCAGUAA